rnacentral:rRNA from 1 species
AAGCAACACCGCGUGGAGGAUGAAUGACUUUUGUUUGUAAACUCCUUUUUUGAGGGAAUAAAUAUGAAGGUACCUCAAGAAUAAGCAUCGGCUAACUACGUGCCAGCAGCCGCGGUAAGACGUAGGAUGCAAGCGUUAUCCGGAAUUAUUGGGCGUAAAGAGUUCGUAGACGAAUUGUUAAGUAGGAUGUUAAAGACCAAGGCUCAACCUUGGCAAGGCAUUCUAAACUGGCAGAAUAGAGCAAUGUAGGGGCAAGUGGAAUUCUGUAUGUAGGGGUAAUAUCCGUAGAUAUACAGAGGAACACCAAAAGCGAAGGCAGCUUGCUGGGCAUUUGCUGACGUUCAAGAACGAAAGCGUGGGGAGCAAACAGGAUUAGAUACCCUGGUAGUCCACGCCCUAAACUAUGGUCACUCGAUGUUGGAGGAUUCGACCCCUUCAGUGUCUAAGCAAACGCGAUAAGUGAUCCGCCUGGGUAGUACGAUCGCAAGAUUAAAACUCAAAGGAAUAGACGGGGACCCGCACAAGCGGUGGAGCAUCUGGUUUAAUUCGACAGUAAGCGAAGAACCUCACCAAGACUUGACAUCCCGAGAAGAUUGCCGAAAGGCGAUUGUGCCGCAAGGAACUCGGUGACAGGUGCUGCAUGGUUGUCGUCAGCUCGUGCCUUGAGGUGUUCGGUUAAGUCCGUAAACGAGCGCAACCCAUGUCAUAUGUUGGAUUUCUCAUAUGAGACUGCCGGCUUUAAGUCGGAGGAAGGUAUGGAUGACGUCAAAUCAGCAUGGCCCUUAUGUCUUGGGCCACACAGGUGCUACAAUGGGAGAUACAAAGGGCUGCUACAUAGUAAUAUGAGGCCAAUCCUAAAAGUCUCUCUUAGUUCGGAUUGAGGGCUGCAAUUCGCCCUCAUGAAGCUGGAAUCGCUAGUAAACGUGAAUCAGCCAUGUCACGUUGAAUAUGUUCCCGGGUCUUGUACUCACCGCCCGUCAAGUCAUGGAAGGUUGGAGUACCCAAAGUCCCCUUAGUUUUCGAACGGGGGCCUAAGGUAAUACAACUGACUGGGACUAAGUCGUAACAAGGUAUCCGUAGGAGAACCUG